rnacentral:rRNA from 1 species
UACGAAGGGCGCGAGCGUUUGUCCGGAUUUAUUGGGCGUAAAGAGCUCGUAGGCGGUUCGUCGCGUCGGCUGUGAAAACCCGGAGCUCAACUCCGGGUCUGCAGUCGAUACGGGCAGACUUGAGUGUUGCAGGGGAGACUGGAAUUCCUGGUGUAGCGGUGAAAUGCGCAGAUAUCAGGAGGAACACCGGUGGCGAAGGCGGGUCUCUGGGCAACAACUGACGCUGAGGAGCGAAAGCGUGGGGAGCGAACAGG